rnacentral:rRNA from 1 species
UACCAGCACCCCGAGUGGUCGGGACGUUUAUUGGGCCUAAAGGCAUCCGUAGCCGGUUCUACAAGUCUUCCGUUAAAUCCACCUGCUCAACAGAUGGGCUGCGGAACGAUACUAUGGAGCUAGGAGGCGGGAGAGGCAAGCGGUACUCGAUGGGUAGGGGUAAAAUCCGUUGAUCCAUUGAAGACCACCAGUGGCGAAGGCGGCUUGCCAGAACGCGCUCGAC